rnacentral:rRNA from 1 species
UCGAGAGGCUUCGGCAAUGGGGGAAACCCUGACCGAGCGACGCCGCGUGGAGGAUGAAGGCCUUUGGGUCGUAAACUCCUUUCGUGGGGAAAGAAUGUGUCCGAGGUGAAUAAUCUCGGGCAUUGACGGUACCCCAAGAAGAAGCUCCGGCUAACUCCGUGCCAGCAGCCGCGGUAAUACGGGGGGAGCAAGCGUUGUUCGGAAUCACUGGGCGUAAAGGGCGUGUAGGCGGUUCGGUAAGUGGGAUGUGAAAUGCCCCGGCUCACCCGGGGACCGGCAUCCCAAACUGCUGAGCUUGAGUACAGGAGAGGGUGGGGGAAUUCCAGGUGUAGCGGUGAAAUGCGUAGAUAUCUGGAGGAACACCGGUGGCGAAGGCGCCCACCUGGCCUGCUACUGACGCUGAUGCGCGAAAGCUAGGGGAGCAAACGGG